UUGGGACUUUAUCUCCACGUAUACGGCAAAAGAAGAUCUUUAAAUAGGUAUACGUGGUAAACGAAUCCCAGAAAUUGAAUCGAUGUCUGCAGAAGAAAUAAUUCUAAUAAUUGAAAUUAACUUCUUUUGAUGAUAUUGGACAUUA
rnacentral:snoRNA from 1 species